rnacentral:rRNA from 1 species
GAUGAACGCUGGCGGCGUGCCUAAUACAUGCAAGUCGAGCGAACAGACGAGGAGCUUGCUCCUCUGACGUUAGCGGCGGACGGGUGAGUAACACGUGGAUAACCUACCUAUAAGACUGGGAUAACUUCGGGAAACCGGAGCUAAUACCGGAUAAUAUAUUUAACCGCAUGGUUCAAUAGUGAAAGACGGUUUUGCUGUCACUUAUAGAUGGAUCCGCGCCGCAUUAGCUAGUUGGUAAGGUAACGGCUUACCAAGGCAACGAUGCGUAGCCGACCUGAGAGGGUGAUAGGCCACACUGGAACUGAGACACGGUCCAGACUCCUACGGGAGGCAGCAGUAGGGAAUAUUCCGCAAUGGGCGAAAGCAUGACGGAGCAACGCCGCGUGAGUGAUGAAGGUCUUCGGAUCGUAAAACUCUGUUAUUAGGGAAGAACAAAUGUGUAAGUAACUAUGCACGUCUUGACGGUACAUAAUCAGAAAGCCACGGAUAACUACGUG